CAGGUGUGGCCACUAGCCUAUAUGAAGGCCCAAAAUUGUGUGUUCCUUUCUGCUCUGACAAUGGCAUGCCCAUUCGUGCGAGAUGUGGUGGAUGAAGAAGCACUUGUGCUGAGGAGAGCCUUCAGGCGAGAAAGGGUCUUCAGGGACCGGUUGGACCCACUGGCCUUCCCUGAUGACCAUCUAUAUGAAAGAUACAGGUUUUCUGCAGAUGGCAUCAGGUAUCUAUGCAGACUACUGGGUCCCAGGAUUAAGCACCGCACUGCACGGAGCCAUGCACUGAGUGUGGAGCAAAUGGUUUGUGUGGCCUUGCGCUUUUUUGCUAGUGGAGCCUUCCUGUACUCAGUGGGGGAUGCAGAACAGCUGAACAAGGCCACAAUUUGACGCACAAUAAGGAAUGUGUGUCUGGCUAUCAAAGCAUUAGCAGAUGUCUUCAUCUCCUUCCCUGGCCACAGAAGACUCUGUGACAUCAAAGAGGAGUUCUAUAGGAUUGCAGAUGGUCUGCAAUGCUGACUGUGUGAUCAGCAAUGUUGUGGCAAAAUGGCCUGGCUCAGUCCAUGACUCCAGAAUCUUUCGGGCCUCUGAAAUCUAUCAGUGCCUAUCACAAGGUGAAUUCUCUGGUGUGUUGCUGGGAGACAGGGGUAUGGCUGCCAGCCUUUUCUCCUGACACCUUUCACAGACCCCAGGAAGCACAGCAGGCCUACAACCAUGCCCAUGCCAGGACCAGGGCCAGAGUUGAAAUGACCUUUGGCCUCCUGAAGGCACGCUUUCACUGCCUUCACAAAUUAAGGGUCAGCCCUGUUAGGGCAUGUGAUAUUACUGUGGCUUGUGCUGUCCUCCACAAUGUGGCCUGCCUGAGGAAGGAGAGGGCCCCCAGAGUGCCACCAGCCAUGGACUGGGACAAUCCGGCAAUCUUCCCUGAUGACGACAGUGGUCGGCUGCUGAGGGACCAAUAUGUGUUGAAUUAUUUUAGUUUGUAUGUGUGCUUUCAAUUUUGGUUAAAUAUGUCCUGCGGUGGCAGAGGAAUUUGGUUUUUUGGGUUCGUUUUUUGACGAAUUUGGCCUCUUAUGAUGUUUGUGCGGUAUACUGUGUGUAAUACAAGGCUGCAGGGAGGCUACUGCAUCCAUUCAUUUGUCUGUUCAGUUGAUGUGUAUGGAGUUGUCCUGCAUUUAUUUUAGUGUGCAGACAUGCAGGGUGUGUUAUAUACAGACCUUUGAAUGUGUAUGUAUCAUUUUGUAUAAUAUGCUUGGAUUCUGUGCUUUCCAUCUUGUAGAGUCACUGUGACUUCAGUUUCGAAAGGAGCUGAUGGUUUACCUGCUUUGUUUUGUCCUUAUUCAAUAAAGGAACAUAAUGUUA